UGGAGUGAGUGGAUUUUUUUCCUUUGCUCUUUAUUCUCUGCAAAAAGAAAAGGAAGAAUGGAUUAAAGACAUGUAAAAAUCUGCAAUUUAGCGGAUCUCUUGGUCCAUGUCCACGAAUUUAACAUGAGAAAUCUAUAUUAAAAAAGAUCAUGGUUAUGUAAGAAAAUGUCGAGAGCAGGAGCAGAGGCAUGGACAAAAGCCGAAACACACGUGACGAAAGCUAGCAAAGAUAACAGUUUAUCAUCACUAACUUCACACCAGACCCC
rnacentral:lncRNA from 1 species